rnacentral:rRNA from 1 species
UACGGAGGGUGCGAGCGUUGUCCGGAAUCACUGGGCGUAAAGGGCGCGUAGGCGGCCUGAUAAGUAGGGGGUGAAAUCCUGCGGCUUAACCGCAGGGCUGCCUUCUAAACUGUCAGGCUAGAGCACGGUAGAGGCAGAUGGAAUUCCCGGUGUAGCGGUGGAAUGCGUAGAGAUCGGGAAGAACAUCAGUGGCGAAGGCGGUCUGCUGGGCCGUUGCUGACGCUGAGGUGCGAGAGCGUGGGGAGCGAACCGG